rnacentral:rRNA from 1 species
GGCUCAGGAUGAACGCUAGCUACAGGCUUAACACAUGCAAGUCGAGGGGCAGCAUGGUCUUAGCUUGCUAAGGCCGAUGGCGACCGGCGCACGGGUGAGUAACACGUAUCCAACCUGCCGUCUACUCUUGGACAGCCUUCUGAAAGGAAGAUUAAUACAAGAUGGCAUCAUGAGUCCGCAUGUUCACAUGAUUAAAGGUAUUCCGGUAGACGAUGGGGAUGCGUUCCAUUAGAUAGUAGGCGGGGUAACGGCCCACCUAGUCUUCGAUGGAUAGGGGUUCUGAGAGGAAGGUCCCCCACAUUGGAACUGAGACACGGUCCAAACUCCUACGGGAGGCAGCAGUGAGGAAUAUUGGUCAAUGGGCGAGAGCCUGAACCAGCCAAGUAGCGUGAAGGAUGACUGCCCUAUGGGUUGUAAACUUCUUUUAUAAAGGAAUAAAGUCGGGUAUGGAUACCCGUUUGCAUGUACUUUAUGAAUAAGGAUCGGCUAACUCCGUGCCAGCAGCCGCGGUAAUACGGAGGAUCCGAGCGUUAUCCGGAUUUAUUGGGUUUAAAGGGAGCGUAGAUGGAUGUUUAAGUCAGUUGUGAAAGUUUGCGGCUCAACCGUAAAAUUGCAGUUGAUACUGGAUAUCUUGAGUGCAGUUGAGGCAGGCGGAAUUCGUGGUGUAGCGGUGAAAUGCUUAGAUAUCACGAGGAACUCCGAUUGCGAAGGCAGCCUGCUAAGCUGCAACUGACAUUGAGGCUCGAAAGUGUGGGUAUCAAACAGGAUUAGAUACCCUGGUAGUCCACACGGUAAACGAUGAAUACUCGCUGUUUGCGAUAUACAGCAAGCGGCCAAGCGAAAGCGUUAAGUAUUCCACCUGGGGAGUACGCCGGCAACGGUGAAACUCAAAGGAAUUGACGGGGGCCCGCACAAGCGGAGGAACAUGUGGUUUAAUUCGAUGAUACGCGAGGAACCUUACCCGGGCUUAAAUUGCAGAUGAAUUACGGUGAAAGCCGUAAGCCGCAAGGCAUCUGUGAAGGUGCUGCAUGGUUGUCGUCAGCUCGUGCCGUGAGGUGUCGGCUUAAGUGCCAUAACGAGCGCAACCCUUGUUGUCAGUUACUAACAGGUUCCGCUGAGGACUCUGACAAGACUGCCAUCGUAAGAUGUGAGGAAGGUGGGGAUGACGUCAAAUCAGCACGGCCCUUACGUCCGGGGCUACACACGUGUUACAAUGGGGGGUACAGAGGGCCGCUACCACGCGAGUGGAUGCCAAUCCCCAAAACCUCUCUCAGUUCGGACUGGAGUCUGCAACCCGACUCCACGAAGCUGGAUUCGCUAGUAAUCGCGCAUCAGCCACGGCGCGGUGAAUACGUUCCCGGGCCUUGUACACACCGCC